GUUUAUUAACUUAAUUUAUUAAAUUUUUAUUGGGUUGUGUAGCCUUUGUUUAUUAACUUAAUUUAUUAAAUUUUUAUUGGGUUGUGUGCCUUUUGCAUCAUGCUUGGGUGAAUAUUUGAAUAAAUUUCUUUAAUCGAAAGUUUUGGAUCUUAUUAGCAACUGGUUACGACUUAGUCGAGUAGAUUUAUUAGAUUGCUGGUAUGGUGUGAUAAGUUAGUCGGCAAAGCUUAUAGCUAUUUAAUAGCUUUAAUUUUUAUUGAUUAUUUACGCUAUGAUGUGUAAAUAUUGUGUAUACUCAGUUUUAUUAAUAAAUUAAUUAAGGUUAAAAUUACCUCUUUAUUAUAAAAGUGUUAUAAUCUUGUAUUAGUGGUUUAAGAGUUACUGUUUAAAGCUAUUCAAGUAAAUUAUUAGUGUUUGUUUAUGCUUAAAUUAGUAAUAUUAACACUUGUAUUGUUUCUCAAGUUUUUCCCGUCUGUUUAUUAAAAACAUUUCUAUAAAAAAGCUUUUAUAGUAGUACCUGCUCUAUGUUGUUAUAAAUGGCCGCAGUAUCUUGACUGUGCGAAGGUAGCAUAAUUAAUUGCCUUAUAAUUGAAGGCUUGUUUGAAUGGUUUGACGUGGUAAAUACAAACAUUACAGUUUUAGUUGAAAUUAUUUUGGAGGGCACAGAAACCUCUUUUUUUAAUUAGACGGAAAGACCCCGGGAUCUUUCAUUUUUGCCUGGGGCAGGUUUAAGUUUUUCACUUAUAUUAUGACCCUUUUAGAGUUUAAUGAGUUAAGUUACCCCGGGGAUAACAGUAUAAUAAUUUAAUAGAGAUCUUAUCGAUUAAGUUGCUUGUUACCUCGAUGUUGACUUAGGCUUCAAUAUAGGCGCAGUAGUUUAUAUUAAAGGUCUGUUCGACCUUGUAGCCUCCAUGAGUUGAGUUAAGACCGGUGUGAGCCAGGUCGGUUCUUAUCUAUUUUUCCAGUUUGUUAGUACGAAAGGACCACAAAUUUUUUUAUU
rnacentral:rRNA from 1 species